CCUACGGGAGGCAGCAGUGAGGAAUAUUGGUCAAUGGGCGCGAGCCUGAACCAGCCAAGUAGCGUGAAGGAUGACUGCCCUACGGGUUGUAAACUUCUUUUAUAAAGGAAUAAAGUGAGGCACGUGUGCCUUUUUGUAUGUACUUUAUGAAUAAGGAUCGGCUAACUCCGUGCCAGCAGCCGCGGUAAUACGGAGGAUCCGAGCGUUAUCCGGAUUUAUUGGGUUUAAAGGGAGCGUAGAUGGGUUGUUAAGUCAGUUGUGAAAGUUUGCGGCUCAACCGUAAAAUUGCAAUUGAUACUGGCAGUCUUGAGUACAGUUGAGGUAGGCGGAAUUCAUGGUGUAGCGGUGAAAUGCUUAGAGAUCAUACAGAACACCGAUUGCGAAGGCAGCUUACCAAACUAUAUCUGACGUUGAGGCACGAAAGCGUGGGUAGCAAACAGGAUUAGAUACCCCUGUAGUC
rnacentral:rRNA from 1 species